UCCCCUAGCAGGAAAAGUGCCCAGAUGCCU
rnacentral:piRNA from 1 species